rnacentral:rRNA from 1 species
GACGAACGCUGGCGGCGUGCUUAACACAUGCAAGUCGAACGGAAAGGCCCUGCUUUUGUGGGGUGCUCGAGUGGCGAACGGGUGAGUAACACGUGAGUAACCUGCCCUUGACUUUGGGAUAACUUCAGGAAACUGGGGCUAAUACCGGAUAGGAGCUCCUGCUGCAUGGUGGGGGUUGGAAAGUUUCGGCGGUUGGGGAUGGACUCGCGGCUUAUCAGCUUGUUGGUGGGGUAGUGGCUUACCAAGGCUUUGACGGGUAGCCGGCCUGAGAGGGUGACCGGCCACAUUGGGACUGAGAUACGGCCCAGACUCCUACGGGAGGCAGCAGUGGGGAAUAUUGCACAAUGGGCGGAAGCCUGAUGCAGCAACGCCGCGUGCGGGAUGACGGCCUUCGGGUUGUAAACCGCUUUCGCCUGUGACGAAGCGUGAGUGACGGUAAUGGGUAAAGAAGCACCGGCUAACUACGUGCCAGCAGCCGCGGUGAUACGUAGGGUGCGAGCGUUGUCCGGAUUUAUUGGGCGUAAAGGGCUCGUAGGUGGUUGAUCGCGUCGGAAGUGUAAUCUUGGGGCUUAACCCUGAGCGUGCUUUCGAUACGGGUUGACUUGAGGAAGGUAGGGGAGAAUGGAAUUCCUGGUGGAGCGGUGGAAUGCGCAAAUAUCAGGGGGAACACCAGUGGCGAAGGCGGUUCUCUGGGCCUUUCCUGACGCUGAGGAGCGAAAGCGUGGGGAGCGAACAGGCUUAGAUACCCUGGUAGUCCACGCUGUAAACGGUGGGUACUAGGUGUGGGGUCCAUUCCACGGGUUCCGUGCCGUAGCUAACGCUUUAAGUACCCCGCCUGGGGAGUACGGCCGCAAGGCUAAAACUCAAAGGAAUUGACGGGGCCCCGCACAAGCGGCGGAGCAUGCGGAUUAAUUCGAUGCAACGCGUAGAACCUUACCUGGGUUUGACAUGGAUCGGGAGUGCUCAGAGAUGGGUGUGCCUCUUUUGGGGUCGGUUCACAGGUGGUGCAUGGCUGUCGUCAGCUCGUGUCGUGAGAUGUUGGGUUAAGUCCCGCAACGAGCGCAACCCUUGUUCACUGUUGCCAGCACGUUAUGGUGGGGACUCAGUGGAGACCGCCGGGGUCAACUCGGAGGAAGGUGGGGAUGACGUCAAGUCAUCAUGCCCCUUAUGUCCAGGGCUUCACGCAUGCUACAAUGGCUGGUACAGAGAGUGGCGAGCCUGUGAGGGUGAGCGAAUCUCGGAAAGCCGGUCUCAGUUCGGAUUGGGGUCUGCAACUCGACCUCAUGAAGUCGGAGUCGCUAGUAAUCGCAGAUCAGCAACGCUGCGGUGAAUACGUUCCCGGG